UGGGGAAUCUUAGACAAUGGGGGAAACCCUGAUCUAGCCAUGCCGCGUGAGCGAUGAAGGCCUUAGGGUUGUAAAGCUCUUUCAGCUGGGAAGAUAAUGACGGUACCAGCAGAAGAAGCCCCGGCUAACUCCGUGCCAGCAGCCGCGGUAAUACGGAGGGGGGCUAGCGUUGUUCGGAAUUACUGGGCGUAAAGCGCACGUAGGCGGAUUAGUCAGUCAGAGGUGAAAUCCCAGGGCUCAACCCUGGAACUGCCUUUGAUACUGCUAGUCUUGAGGUCGAGAGAGGUGAGUGGAAUUCCCGAGUGUAGAGGUGAAAUUCGUAGAUAUUCGGAGGAACACCAGUGGCGAAGGCGGCUCACUGGCUCGAUACUGACGCUGAGGUGCGAAGCGUGGGGAGCAAACAGGAUUAGAUACCCUGGUAGUCCACGCCGU
rnacentral:rRNA from 1 species